GACGGAGGGACGAGGGGGCGGGGAGAACCCGGGAUCGCGGGAGCGGUUGGAUGUUCCAGGUGACACAAAAAUGAAGACACCGACAGCUAUAAAGAAGUCAUGAGAGCAGUGCAGGUCAGUGCUGGUGAACACACCUCCUUCCAUGUCCUGGUUGCACCACAUCGGCUCGGAUUUACUAGAAAUGAGUUUCAUUUUGUUAAGUAACAUAAGAAUCACGAAGAAAACCCUCUCCAUUGUUCUUACCAAUAAACACAGGGUCAGAAUCGCUGCUCUUAGUGUAACUGAGACAAACAUAUUAUUGCAGAACCCCAGCAGUCCGGGAGCAGAGCUCAGCCUUCUACUCCCUGCACUCAGCCACAUUUAAGUUCUGUGACUCCAUUUCAAUGCAAAGUUACCCAGCUGAGUAGAAAUAACCCCUGUGGCAGCAGCACACCCAGAGCUCGAUUGCUGCCCCUGUUUCUGUGUAACUGUGCCUUUUGGUUGCCAGGAUCAUGGAGAGCUGUGGAGCUGCACCGUUCAUGAGCACUGGGUAGCUCCGUGGGAUUCUCGAACUCCAGAGAGAUCUGUCGUAACUCUUUCGAUAAAUAUAUUUACUCUUUCAAGAAGUAAAUAUUUGAAAGCAUACAGGACAACAUCAGCAUGCUGGAGUCAUACUUUUGUCCCAGGGGGUGACACUGCAGGUGGCUCCGUGCAUCUAGAGGUACACAGAGAUAUCAGAUAAAAGAGGAGCAGUAGAGAUGUCAGGGGCACGUGCUGAAUUCCAACUGCAGCUCAAACUUGAGACCUGCAAGAUCUGCCAUCUUCAUUUAGGCACCUCUGUAAAAGUUACUCACCAAACACAGUCACUGCUCCCUGUGGAGUCUCCCGUGAAGGUAAAUCCCUCCCCACUGAGCAGCCUCAUCCCGAGAUGUGGCAGACACAGUGAUACCCCAUUGCUGUCAGCAGAAGUUGAACUUGCUGCUGCAGUGAGUGGUGCUCCACAAAAUGGGCACUUAGACACGUGCCUUCAUUUUUCCUAUGGAAAGAGGAGUUUCUUG